rnacentral:rRNA from 1 species
AACGAACGCUGGCGGCAGGCCUAACACAUGCAAGUCGAACGAGAAGCUUCUUUCGGGAAGUGGAGAGUGGCGCACGGGUGAGUAACGCGUGGGAAUUUGCCUUUUGGUACGGGAUAACGUUUGGAAACGAACGCUAAUACCGUAUGUGAUCUACGGAUUAAAGAUUUAUCGCCAAGAGAUGAGCCCGCGUAGGAUUAGAUAGUUGGUGGGGUAAUGGCCUACCAAGUCUACGAUCUUUAGCUGUUCUGAGAGGAAGAUCAGCCACACUGGAACUGAGACACGGUCCAG